GAUGAACGCUGGCGGCGUGCUUAACACAUGCAAGUCGAACGAUGAAGCCCAUCUUGCUGGGUGGAUUAGUGGCGAACGGGUGAGUAACACGUGAGUAACCUGCCCUUAACUCUGGGAUAAGCCUGGGAAACUGGGUCUAAUACCGGAUAGGAGCGUCCACCGCAUGGUGGGUGUUGGAAAGAUUUAUCGGUUUUGGAUGGACUCGCGGCCUAUCAGCUUGUUGGUGAGGUAAUGGCUCACCAAGGCGACGACGGGUAGCCGGCCUGAGAGGGUGACCGGCCACACUGGGACUGAGACACGGCCCAGACUCCUACGGGAGGCAGCAGUGGGGAAUAUUGCACAAUGGGCGAAAGCCUGAUGCAGCGACGCCGCGUGAGGGAUGACGGCCUUCGGGUUGUAAACCUCUUUCAGUAGGGAAGAAGCGAAAGCGACGGUACCUGCAGAAGAAGCACCGGCUAACUACGUG
rnacentral:rRNA from 1 species